UACGAAGGGGGCUAGCGUUGCUCGGAAUCACUGGGCGUAAAGCGCACGUAGGCGGAUUGCUAAGUCAGGGGUGAAAUCCUGGAGCUCAACUCCAGAACUGCCUUUGAUACUGGCGACCUUGAGUCCGGGAGAGGUGAGUGGAACUGCGAGUGUAGAGGUGAAAUUCGUAGAUAUUCGCAAAAACACCAGUGGCGAAGGCGGCUCACUGGCCCGGUACUGACGCUGAGGUGCGAAAGCGUGGGGAGCAAACAGG
rnacentral:rRNA from 1 species